rnacentral:misc_RNA from 1 species
GUACCACAAGGAAGCGUCCUAAGCCCAAUACUAUACACAUUAUACACGGCGAACAUACCAACAACUACCAACAGCACAGUAUUGACAUUCGCGGACGACACAGCUAUACUAGUCAGGCAUACUAACCCAGAAACGGCAGUCAAAAUACUACAAGAACAUACCAUAAAAAUAGAAAAUUGGCUACAAGAAAAACAAAUAAAAGCAAACCCCAACAAAUGCAACCACAUUACAUUCACGCUACGAAAAAAGACACCACCAAACAUCCUAUUGAACGGCACGCAUAUAACGCAAACAAAGCAUGUCAAAUACCUAGGACUCCACUUAGAUCAAAAACUCACCUGGAAACUACACAUCAAAUCAAUAGUAGAAAAAAUACAGAAAACA